AACGAACGCUGGCGGCAUGCCUAACACAUGCAAGUCGAACGAGACCUUCGGGUCUAGUGGCGCACGGGUGCGUAACGCGUGGGAACCUGCCUUUAGGUUCGGAAUAACUCAGAGAAAUUUGAGCUAAUACCGGAUAAUGUCUUCGGACCAAAGAUUUAUCGCCUUUAGAUGGGCCCGCGUUGGAUUAGCUAGUUGGUGGGGUAAAGGCCUACCAAGGCGACGAUCCAUAGCUGGUCUGAGAGGAUGAUCAGCCACACUGGGACUGAGACACGGCCCAGACUCCUACGGGAGGCAGCAGUGGGGAAUAUUGGACAAUGGGCGAAAGCCUGAUCCAGCAAAUGCCGCGUGAGUGAUGAAGGCCUUCGGGUUGUAAAGGCUCUUUACUCGGGACGAUAAUGACGGUACCGGAGAGAAUAAGACACCGGCUAACUACGUGCCAGCAGCCGCGGUAACGU
rnacentral:rRNA from 1 species